GCAGCCAAUGGGCUGAAACUUCCAGGAGGGCUUCUCAGUUGGAAGGAUAGAAAUAGCUAAAACUUCACCGCUUACGCUCUCCGGAACGCAAUUCCUUAGAGCAGCAUAACCUGUUAAAACAGGCGGAGAUGCACUGGGCUUCUCACCUUUUUCUUCCAGUGCUGGAUAUCCAGUUUGCUCUUUGUCCUGUGUUUCUAAUGCCUAACAGCUGUCGGUCAGCCUGGAUUUCCUUCGAGGUGAAGGAAACCGCACUUUACCUUUCCUUAGGACCUCAUCCGUGCAAGUAAUGGACGCUUUUAAGCAACGCGAUCUAGGUGUUAAUAUCUUCAUUUACAAAUUAUAACAAGUUUGGCAAGCUGUUCUACCACUAUAGAUCAAUAGCUGCCAAUCAGAAGGAAAGAAGGCUCCCUUAAAACAGGAAUACAACAACCCUGGAAAUUGUUGAUGGCUGACAAUCUGCUGAUGAAGAGGAAAGUAGAAAACAAAAGGCAGACAUGAGAAUUAACAAAAAACCAUAGUUUAUAAAUAACUGCCAAAUGACCUAAGUAGCACCUAAAACAAAAAAAUUCACAGCAUUGUUGAAUCCUACAAUAAUUUGACAUCGACUGUAAAAAACACUUGAUAAUCUGUAAGUGCCAUGCAUUCUCCAGUCAGGGGAUCCAAGUUCUCAUCCUGAUUUUGGCACCAAUAACCAAGUGGAAGUGGACAAAGUCAGUUUCCUCAUCUGAAGGCAGCAAUAAUAAUCUCUGCCUACUCUAUAGGGUUGCUGAAAAUCAAAUGAGAUAACCCUUGAAAUCUAAUGCCUUAUACCUUAAGAAACAGAGCAGUGUGUACUUUAUAUUAUAUUUUCAAAAGCUGUUUUUUUUAAUUAUUCAUUUUAGUUUUUAUUUUUAGAUCUUAAAAAGAUAUUACAUACUCUUUUACUAACAGGAAUAUUACUUAAUUGGGCAUACCCCCUGAGAAUUCUGGAUAGUUGCGGUAUUUUGAAUUUGCAUAUUUUCACCUUUGGUAAGAGUAUGAAAUUUGGGUCGUCAAAAAUUUUGAGAAUCACCUCUAGUUCACUCUCUCCAUUGGCUUAGGGGUCAAAAAACCAGCACUCCAGCCUGGACCAGCACCAUUCAUUAGCUAUUAGGCCUUGGGCAAAGUCACCAGGCUGAAUCUUCUCAGAAUCUUUAGGAACUAUCAUUUUGUGUUUUGUUUUAGUUUUUUACUAUAGAACAGUUGUUACCAUAAUCCCUUAUAUUUGACAGAACUUUAGUUUUAUAAAGCACUUCCAUAUCAUCAGAAAUUCACACCAACACCUUGUGAGGUGGGUAUUAUCCCUUUAUAUUACAGAAAGAACAGGGGAAAAUAUAAAUAAGUUAAAAGUCUUGCCAAGUCACACAACUACUGUGCAACAGAGGAAUUAGGACUCCAAGGAAAUGAUUAAUUUGCAAUAGUAUUGUGCAUAUGUUUUUUUAAAAAAAUUUGCAAAAUACUGAGUAUUAAUAGUAUUGUUUGGUUAUUUCUUAUAAUCAAGAUGACAGAAAAAUAACUUAAGUAACUGAGAAAUACAAUACUGAUGCUUUUCCUUGACUCAGACAACUUAUGUGUAACUUUUUUCAAAAAGCAGAAUAGUUAAAUUUAUUUUGCUGAGCUAUUGUUAUUUUACAAUUGACAUUUUGAAGUUAGCACCUCAUGCAGAGAAAAGUUUGCAGCUUUGCUUUAAUUUUGGUUUGGCUGAAGUAUCUUUUUCAAAAGCACAGCAAUUUAAUGCUUUACAUUUUAAAAACCAUAUUUGCAAUGGAAAAUAUACAAGUAAUUUAAAAAAGGACACACUCACAAGACUUACCCUUUAAAGUAACACGUUAAAAUAAAACAGUCUGUUAUUUUCUCUUAAUAACAUGGCUACUAGUCUCUUUAAUGCAAUUGCCAAAAUUUUGUAUAUAAUUUACGAUGGAUGUUUUAAAGGAAAAACAUAAAAGUUUUGUAACAGUAAUACUUUUAAAAUAGGCCAUGCAUUGAUAUACUUCAUGAGAACUAUGAUAAGUACAAGUAUGAUUUAAGGGUUAUCAAAUCUCCCUAAUUUCUAUAAUAUUAUGCCUAAACAAAUCUGUAUAUAUACAAGCAAAAGACAUUUGAUUAGAUGUGAACUUGUGUGAAACACAGAUGCAUUAAAUGAAAGAGAAACCUCUACAGAUGUCUAAGUUUUUUAAGUGCGUGUUUGAAAACAUUAAAUAAUAAAUAACCACUAAUAAGAGUAAUGCAUUGCAGUAGCAAAAAGAUUUUCGUAUAAUGUUAAAAAGAAAGCACUGUUAGCCAUGAUACUGACAAACAUAUUUAUAGUUCCAGAUUCCAUUGGUUCCUCCAGCAUAUGGGAGCAGUUAUUUGUAAUUCAGAUAAAGUAGUUUUUCAUUGUAAUACUGAGCAGGUUAUUCUAAAAAUAUUCCACUACUUCCGAAAUAAUCAUCUCAGUCUUGAUGACUAUAGCUUAAACAUAUUCUUUUGCCUGGUUUAUUCGGACAGGUUUGUGCCUUGGAUCUGAAACCCUAAAGUGUUCAUCAGUUUGAAAUUUUUUGGCACUUGACAUUUAAAACAUGAGAAAUAUAAAGAAAUUCUGUUGCAGCAAGGUCUUAAGCUUUUAAAAUUAGCACCCCUCCCGGCUUUACAACAAAGUCAUGCUGUGAAUGAGUUUUUAGUUAAUGCUUCUUGGGAUUUAUUCCUGGACUAUAAUUUUAUCAAAUGCAGGGGGAAUUUUCUUUGGGAAUUUAGCAGAAUAUCCUUUUCACAGCUCGUUUAAUAAUAUUUUCUUUUAUAUGGCAGGGGCUCUUUGGGGGUUGGGGGAAACCAACUGCAGAAAAUUGCAGGUUUCAGAAGACAGCUCUGAAAUCGCAGACACCCAAUUUCUCCCUUGCACACUUUCUUUUUUACUCACACUUCCAAUAGAACAGGAUUUCUACAGCUCAUAUGGUUUUGUACAAAGACUUAAAAGGGCCACUUGAAACGUUUACAGAUGAGAGGGCUCACAUAAACCUCCCCCUGACAGAUAUUUACGAAGCGCCACUUACUCUUUCUCGCCACAAACGUAUUCAAGAGACACUUUAGAUAUAUUUCUAAGAGUUCUUUUUCCCUACAACGUCUUAUGAAGGCCAGGCCUUCCUAGAACUAAAGCAGCAUUAACUGCUUGGUAUUUCAUCCAUCCUCUCUUAAAAUUGAAAGACAAUUUGCUCUUCAUGUGGACUAUUUCUUUCUCUUCUAUAAACCCAUCACUGUAACCACAGGAUUUAAUAUUUGUUAGUCUAUUUUGCAUAAAGGAUAAGGUUGGACGAAAGUACCAGCAGUGAAAAUUAAUGCACUAGCAGCUUACAGAAAGUUAGGGUUCUCAUUCUUCCUAGAGAAACUCUUAAAUUUCUUUUGUGCAGUUUUUGGUGUGUGGGCGCAAGCGCAUGCGCGCGCGUGUUGGGGGGGUGGGGUAGAAUUAGAUUUGUUAGAAAAGAAGCUCUUUUCCAUUCCAGUCACAACUAAAGUUCAAACAAAACUCUUAGCUUGCUGGAAGAAGCCUGGAGGUGUUAAGGGACAGCUUCGCUUAAUCUUUCUUUCUCUUCUUCCUAAGCCAUGUGAAGACCUUGCCUGAUUCCCCUUUGCCCUCCAC
rnacentral:lncRNA from 1 species